rnacentral:rRNA from 1 species
AGCAGCCGCGGUAAUUCCAGCUCCAAUAGCGUAUAUUAAAGUUGUUGCAGUUAAAAAGCUCGUAGUUGAAUUUCGGGAUUGACACAUCGGUCGUGCCUUAAGGGGUAUGAACUGGUGUAGUCAAUUUCUCACCUUCUGGAGAACCGCGAUGCCCUUAAUUGGGUGUCGCGGGGAACCAGGACCUUUACCUUGAAAAAAAUUAGAGUGUUUAAAGCAGGCAUUUUGCUUGAAUACAUUAGCAUGGAAUAAUAAAAUAGGACGGCAUGAUUCUAUUUUGUUGGUUUCUAGGAUCACCGUAAUGAUUAAUAGGGAUAGUUGGGGGCAUUAGUAUUCAAUUGUCAGAGGUGAAAUUCUUGGAUUUAUUGAAGACUAACUACUGCGAAAGCAUUUGCCAAGGAUGUUUUCAUUAAUCAAGAACGAAAGUUAGGGGAUCGAAGACGAUCAGAUACCGUCGUAGUCUUAACCAUAAACUAUGCCGACUAGGAAUCAGACGAUGUUAAUUUUUUAAUGACUCGUUUGG